rnacentral:rRNA from 1 species
AGCGAACGCUGGCGGCAGGCCUAACACAUGCAAGUCGAACGGAUCCUUCGGGAUUAGUGGCGGACGGGUGAGUAACACGUGGGAACGUGCCCUUUGGUUCGGAACAACUCAGGGAAACUUGAGCUAAUACCGGAUGUGCCCUUCGGGGGAAAGAUUUAUCGCCAUUGGAGCGGCCCGCGUCUGAUAGCUAGUUGGUGAGGUAACGGCCCACCAAGGCGACGAUCAGUAGCUGGUCUGAGAGGAUGAUCAGCCACACUGGGACUGAGACACGGCCCAGACUCCUACGGGAGGCAGCAGUGGGGAAUCUUGCGCAAUGGGCGAAAGCCUGACGCAGCCAUGCCGCGUGAAUGAUGAAGGUCUUAGGAUUGUAAAAUUCUUUCAGCGGGGACGAUAAUGACGGUACCCGCAGAAGAAGCUCCGGCUAACUUCGUG